GAAAAUAUUUUUAUUUGGAAAACUCGUUAGCCGACAACCCUACGCCACGAAUACACGUCCAUGCCUACGCGGAUUUUGUCACGUGAUUCGUUAAAGGUCACGUGAUAACAGCCAUUUUGUUUUGUCACGCUUUUCGAGCUUACGAAAAGUGCUGAGAUGGCUGACGUUGAAGAGAAUCCUCAUAUGAACGACAAUUCUGAGGAGUCAGAUAUUGAUGAUGGCAACGAGGAGAUGGAUACAGAACCCACUGAGGGUGGCGAUCACCCAGAAGAGGAAAGCACGACUGAGGGAGGAGGAGAGGAGGAACCACCUCUAGUGAAAGAUGAGAGAUAUUCUCAGCUUGUGAGUAUGAACGUCAAGAAAAGGGUUGCCAGAGAAUUCUGCAGACUUAUGGAUGAAGGCAAGAUUACCAUGGCAGACGUGGAUAAGAAAGUGGCAAAGAAGUUGUGUGCGCUGCGAGUUGAAGAUGGUAUACGCAUAGUGAAACGGUUUGGAAUGUUUAACUUGGAUCACAUGGCCAACAAAUCAGCCUUUCUGCUGAGUCAGAUUGUGAUGUUUAGACAACAGAAAGGUCAUUAUAAUCAUCCAGCAGCCUUCAGUGCAAAUGGGAUCCCAGGACCAGAUCCCGAGAAAAUGACAGAAUUACUGUUGCGAACUGGGUACUUGCUUGACAUCACGACCAGAGGGCGGCGGCGUUAUGGGGGUCCUCCGCCAGGCUGGGAAGGAGAUCAGCCGCUUACCGAGUGCAGUGUUUAUGUGACUGGAUUACCACAAGACAUGUAUGAAGAUAUUCUUGUCCCACUGUUCGAGAAGUUUGGUCGAAUCUGGCAGAUGUGUUUGAUGGCAGACCCCUUCACUAAUCUGAAUCCUGGUUUUUGCUACCUCACCUACUGCAAAGACGAGGAAGCACAAAGAGCUGUUGAAGAGCUUAAUGGUUAUGAAAUCAGAGAGGGUGAAGUUUUAAAGGCCAACAUCUCCAUUCCCCAUGUGACUCUGUUUGCGGGAAGCCUUCCAAAUGACAGGACAAAGGAAGAAAUUAAGGAAGUCUUUGGCAGCAAAACAGAAGGACUAAUGGGAGUGGAGCUUCUUCCCUAUGAGGUAAACUCAGAGGAAAAGAACAGCAUUCCAGUGGCAGGCUUGCUGACUUACUCCUCCUACAAGUUGUCCUCAGAAGCCAAGAGAAGAUUCAAGAGGGGGGACUGUCUGGCAUUUGACAGGAAAAUGCAUAUUGCUAAGGCUGACACACGGGGCAAGCCACCAAAGGGGUGCCUUGAGAAGGUUACAUUAAUACACAUCCAUCAGAUGCCACCGUCACAUACAGUCAGGACUCUGCAGGAGCAGUUUCAGAAGUUUGGGGAGAUAGAGUAUGUAGAGAAGAAUCAAGACCAUGGAUUUGUAAAGUUUGCUUCCCAUCAGAGCGCCAUCAAGGCUAUGGUGGAACACAAAGGAGUUUGGAGACAAGCGUGUACUCUAUUUAUGAAAAUGAAGAACAACAUUAUACAGGCUGGUCUUGACCAGGAGUAUGGAGCUGUCAUCAUUGACAUUUCAAUGGGUGAAAAGCAAGAUCAUAAAAAAAAACUUAUCAGAGGAAAUAACAGAAACAGAAGGCGUGGCAGAGCCCGGGGAAGAGGAUAUAUGCAUUGGGGAAGGGGAGGUAAUGGCUUACUACCAUUGCCCCCACAGUUCAUGAUGCGCCCUACCAUGUACAGAGGUGGACUUCCAAUGCCUCCUCCACCAGAAGAUCUAUGGGCCUAUGAAGAGUAUAUGUGCAGGGAUUUGCCUCCAUACAGAGGAAGAGAUUUCCACCCUUCACAUCCAUAUAUUUGAUGAAUUGUAACAGCACUUAGCUGUUUGAGUGGACGGGGAAAGGAACAGAAGCAUCUUGGGCCUUCUUACUCCAUGGAACCAAGGAGAAACCAUUGGGAUACAUGGCAUGGGUGGGACAGACCUCAGCAAGUCAACCAUGGUCAACAUGCAAACAAACGCAAGUCAGGAACCGCUUUUGCUAAUCGUGG
rnacentral:misc_RNA from 1 species